rnacentral:lncRNA from 1 species
CACACCAUCCAUUUGCUCCCUUUUUCAAUUUAUAUAUGUAUAUUUUUCUUUCUUUCCAACUACCCAAAAUAAUCACACUUUUCUUUGUCUGCCACUUAUAAGAAGAUCAAACCGUUAGAUUUAACUCAAAAUUUAGUAUGAUAUGGAUAAGAAGAUACCAAACAACUUUCGUGAAGAAACAGUUUCGAGCUGAGCUUCUGAAAAUGAAGGUUUGGUACUCAUAAGAUGGCUGUCCAGUUUUCUGCGGAAAUGGAAGCUGAGUUGAAGUUUCAGUCAUCUACGACGAUCGCACCGUUGACAAUUUCUGAAAUUUGGAUAUGUUCUAGGUACUAGGCGGACAAACAACUUUCAAGAAGAAAGUAUUUCAAUCGGAUGUCAGGAAGUUGGAGUUCAGUGGCUAUUUACAUGGCUGCCAAAUUUUCUGCGGAUUUUGAGUCUGUAGUAUUAUUUCUAAGAUAUGGAAUGAUUUAACCGUUGGAUGGUUCUGGAAUUUUGGUAUGUUAUGGGAGAGAGGAUAAGGAACAACUUUUAUGAAGGAAUGGUUUCUGUAUGAGCACUGGAAGUUGAAGUUUCAAAGCUCAUAUGAUCGUCGGAUUUUCUGCCAAUAAUAAUGACAAUACUUAUAUAACCACAUGUAUAUUUACUUUAAGAAAAUUAGUCAUUUAGAGAUAUGAGAAUGAAAUGAAAAGAUUUUCUUAUCUGUGAGAUUCCAGCCGAUAGAUGUGAGAGGUAAGUAGUGCUUUCCACCGACAUGAGAGCUUCUCGUGCUGAUAACGUGUUGUAAAAUCGACUGUGGGUGCAGUGGAAUAAAUGAAACAAGACACAAAAUUUACGAGGUUCCUCUACAGUCAGUGUGACUGGAGUACGUCCUCGGGGCAGCAGUGGUGCUUUCAUUAUAAUUUAGAAUAAUAGGAGUACAAAGAUAACUCUCUCUAUUAUCUCCUCUUAUCUUCCUCUAUUCUCUCUCUUCCUCUUCCUUCUCUCUCUUCCUCUUCCUUCCUUCCUCUCUUCCUUUCCCGUAAACUCCUCUUAUCUAUCUAUCUUUGUUGUGUUUCAUAAGGCUUGCUUAUAUAGAAGCAAGUCACAAGCAGCAUAGUAAAAGAAAAUGAAUGGGUUAUUGGCCAGCCAUCCAUUCACCUUUACAACAAAUUGGACACUACGAAAAAACAAAAACAAAAAUAAAUAAAAAAAAAUUGGGAAGGGGUCUGUCAGACAACCGUGUGACCACCCCAGCCAGCUGAAGAGAUGGCUGAGAACGAUCAUCUACUGCUUGAAUGAUCCGAGGGUCACAAGGCUGUUAAUCACGCUCUGAUCACACGGUCAUGGUUCAUCCACCAGACUGAGGUUCCUGUCUCCUUAGAAAUCAAGGAUACAGAGGUACAACCUAUAGAACAGAUCCUGUUCAAGUAAGGUCGUGAGCUGUGAGUACGGAAAAGACCAUAUAAAGGCUAUUGUCGUUUUAUGCAGCGUCGAUGUGGGACUAAUGUUGUUGUGCUUUGUGCAUUUUGCAGCUCACAAAUAUCUGCCGAGGUUUUGCCUUCAAUUCAACCACAUUGAAGACAACUACUGUAAAAAGUAAAGAAUUCCAAUUCAGAAAGAGUAUAUACCUUUAUUAAUAGGUGGCUCGAAGCUGUAUGAACAUCUAAUUGGCUGAAAAAGCAACCCUGCCAACAAAAUCAAAGAGUUUAAACAAAAUUGAAAGAGGCCUAAGCCUUAUGGGUCACCGUGUAGUUGUACAGCUUGUAGGGUUGCGUAGGAUUUUGAUUUUAACAUUUGUUCGGUUAAAACAUAUAAAUUGCAAUGAGUGAACAAGGAGGAGCACUCACAAGGUGGACGCGAAUAUUGUUCGUUAUUAUUAUCCUUUGAUAAAUAUGUAUUUACUUGGAAUUAGUUGGACUGACUUCUCUACGUUUACUGACACAUAUGAAAUAAAAAAGAUUAUAUAUGCGAGUACGUAUAGUUGAUUCUAUCCUCAUUCAUUCUCUUCCUUAUUUAUGUCUUCAUGGAUUCUCUUCCUUAUUUAUAUCUUCUCAAGCUUCAAGGGUUGAUUAAAAAUUACAAACCAAAAGUAUCUGAUUAAAAAAAAAAAAAAAAAGCAUGAACAGCAACUACACUACAUAUAUAUGUAGUGUGAGUUUAUAUGAGUUUCGAUUGUUUGGUAUCAAAUUCUUCAUUUAAGAGAGUCAAAUCUAAGACCUCUUACGUAUUUAAGAUUGCGGGAAAAGAUCACUAGAUGAUUGUACUAAUCGCGAGAGACGAGCACAAUGAGAUGCAUGUGGGCUUAAGACGUAUUCAGUUGGGUGUGAGUCUUAAGAUAUGUGUUUUUGUGGCACGCCAGCACAAAGGCUUGCUUGCUAGCUUCAGGAUCUGCGUAUGGAAAAGUGUUUGCCUUUACUAAAGGUCCAAUUUAUUUCUGAGAACAUUGAACCAUAAAAAACAGAGGUUAACUAUUAAGUACUAUUGAGAAGCAACCUAAUAGCGCACCGGACGACUGAGUAGGAGGUCUUAUUAUCAUAAAAAACUGUCUCAAGGGUAGCAUAACCCCUUGCAUAUCUGAAUGAUGCAGUGCCUGAAACCACUGAGACCUCUUUAACCCUCUCAAACUGGCGGCUGGUGCCUUGUAGCUCAAGGCUGCUGCCAUCGUACCUAUUGGUGAAUGCAAGUGACAUUGACACAUGCACAUUGGAGCCAGAAAAGGACGAAGCAACUAGAAUGCCUUGAGCUCGACCUACUUGGGUCGAUCUCUUAUCGGGAGUUUCGGUGAUGGGAUCGUCAAUGGCGAAAAUGGUGCCGAAUGAGGUGAAAGACUGAGGCUUGCCUUGGAUGCCUGUGAUAGGGACAACAGUUGCAUUGGGUCCUGACGCCAAGUCUUGCAAGUAAAACACUAUGGUGGUUUCUCUAGGACUUUGAGCUUUGGAAAGAGACAUGAGCAUGGCUAGAAGCAAUGUUGACAAAACCGACAUGAGUUUGGAGGGUCUUGAAAAGGAACUUAAUGCCAUUAGUGAAAAUAACAACAAAUUGAGCAGCAGAAGAAUUUGAGUGAAUAUUGGAAUUUUCUUUUUGCAACUGGGUUUGUUCAUGCAAUGGUUCCAAUUUAUGGAGAGAUGGAGACGGUUAAAGUUGUCAAUUUUCUGCUAGAAAAUAGACGUUAUGUAAGUUAUGAACACAAGAUUCUUGUUAUUUUGGGACGUUUAAAAAGUAGUGACGGCCUGAUGGGUAUCUCAUGUGAGACUGCUGAACAUAGAGCAUGCCUGUGGAGGUUCAAAUUUAGGUUUAAAAUUCAAGCAUAGAGAAGACCAAAAUCAUACAUAUACGUAUACGUGAAUCCAAGAAAAUGCAACGCAACAGUACAUAUAGGUUUCGUUUAAUGUCUAGGAUUGGCUUGGAUUGAAUAAACUUUAAUUAAAUGCACGUUGAGCAAAAACGUGGAUGUCAACUUGCAUAUAUAUAGGUUGUCCAAUUAGUUUUCUUCAUGAAAAUUAUCUACCUUCAAUUAGGGUUUGAGCGGUCAUAUCACAAAUCGAUUAAAAUGGAAAGGAAGGCACAUAUAAGCGUUAUAUUAUAUAUCAUUUCAACUUUCAUAACCUACAUAAGUAAAAAUAAACACCUUUAUGUCACUCUUUCAUGGAUAUUGGAUAUGCCGGUACUGUUCACUUUUAAUAAAAAAUCACAUUUUUACCUUUAUUUGUCAUUUUUCAUUAAAACUAAAGUUUUUUUUUGGACUUUCGUUAGUUUUCCUCUCUUUUUUGUGUGUGAUAGAAGACUAAGGGUGCGUUUGUUGCACCGGACUAACUCGGACUAAGCUGGACUAGCUUAGACUAGACUAAGUUGGACUGGCUUAAAAUAGACUUAGCUGGACUGGCUUAGACUAUACUGAGCUGGACUGACUUAGUGAAGCGUUUGGUACAAUGUCGGACUAAAAAGAAGGAUAAUAACAAAUUACAAUAUUAUAUUUUUUAAUUCAUAUCUAAUAAUAUUAUAUUAAUUAAUUCUAUCUUUUUUUAUUCUAAUAAAACUCUCCCUCUUUAUCUCCCUCGUUCUCUCAGUCCCAUGCUCUCUUUCGCUUCCCUCUUUUUUCCGAUUAAUUGCCAAAUUUUUUUUUGCAAAACAAAGAAUCGAGCUUGGUUUUUCAGGUUUUUGUUUGGUGCAAGAUUCCAACUGGAGAGAGCUUUCCAAGUCCGUGGAGCGGCGGAACCGACCUGCAGUGAUGCCUGGCGAGUUGAUCGGCGACGAGUCGGGGUUUGUGAAGUCGGGGAAGUGAGAGACGGUGAUGGCUUGGAUUUCUUGAAUUCGUUUCCAUCAAACCCAAUAUUGCAGAUUUAGAGAUCUUUUGAGAUGGAGAAGAGGGAGGAGGAGAGAGAGUGAGUCAGAGAAAGGGAAGGCAAGUAGUUGCUCAAGCCUGGGGCGAAGCGAAGCAACAUGAAUGUUUAAGUGUAUUAUUGAAAAUAUGUCUAAAUAAAGUGUAUCAAAUGUAAAAAAUGUGCAAGUACGUGUAUAACGUCAGAAUUUUAAAACAUGUGCAAUUUAAUAAAACAAUAAGACGUGUAUGAAAAACAUAAGUAUUUGAAAAAUACUUAUGUAUGUGUAAAAUACGGGUCUUAUACGCGAAUUUACUAACCAUGCGUGUGAGUAUUGAAAUUAUUUUGAUUUUUAAUUUUAUGUGUUAAUUUCAAUUUUUAAAGUACUGUUAUCGACACUCCAAAAUAGUUAAGUUGUACUACUUUCAUGAAAAAAUUUGCAUAAAAAAAAAAACACAUUAAAGAACUGCAUAAUGAUUUUUUUAGGGGCAGAACCACUCCCUAAAUUUAAUCAAUUUAUGAUUCACCAAUGACAAGUUUUGAUGUGGUAAGUAUAAUCCAUCAAAUUGUGUUGAGUUUUAAAGUACAAUAGGUAUUUAUCUUUUAAUUCACAUAAAUGACAAAGACACAUAUAUGAUGAGUUUAAUUCUAAAUUGUGUAAUUUUGAAAAAAAUAGGUUUUUAUAACCAAUGGGCUUUGAAAUGUACCAAAAUCUUUAUUUUGAUCUUUUAAUUUCAAAAUGAAUCCAUAUCGCUCUUAAAAUUAAGCACCACACAUCAAUUGAGUUCUUUCCAUUAAUUUCUAUCAAGUGUUACGUAAAUUUAGUGACUAGGCACACAUGUACGGCCUACAAGUCCAAAAUAUGUUAUUAUCGAUUUUCGGAAAACAUUUGUGAUAAAAACCGUUGAAAAAGGGAAAACAAAAUUCAUGAACGAUGAUAUCAUGAUAUUGAUGGAAACCUUGAGACUUUCAUGGUCCUGUAAGCCAAACAUACUCCACCAAAAUUAUAAAAUCCCAAUUGGACACUAGGAAAAAACAAAAACAAAAUAAAUAAAAAAGAGUUGGGAAAACAUUUGUGAUAAAAACCGUUGAAAAAGGGAAAACAAAAUUCAUGAACGAUGAUAUCAUGAUAUUGAUGGAAGCCUUGAGACUUUCAUGGUCCUGUAAGCCAAACAUACUCCACCAAAAUUAUAAAAUCCCAAUUGGACACUAGGAAAAAACAAAAACAAAAUAAAUAAAAAAGAGUUGGGAAGGUCUGUCAGACAACCGUGUGACCACCCCAGCCAGCUGAAGAGAUGGCUGAGAACGAUCAUCUACUGCCUGAAUGAUCCGAGGGUCACAAGGCUGUUAAUCACGCUCUGAUCACACGGUCAUAGUUCAUCCACCAGACUGAGGUUCCUGUCUCCUUAGAAAUCAAGGAUACAGAGGUACAACCUAUAGAACAGAUCCUGUUCAAGUAAGGUCGUG